GACUCUCGGCAACGGAUAUCUUGGCUCUCACAUCGAUGAAGAACGUAGCGAAAUGCGAUACUUGGUGUGAAUUGCAGAAUCCCGUGAACCAUUGAGUCUUUGAACGCUAGUUGCGCCCGAGUCCUCUUGGUCGAGGGCACGUCUGCCUGGGUGUCA
rnacentral:rRNA from 1 species